rnacentral:rRNA from 1 species
UACGAAGGGUGCGAGCGUUGUUCGGAAUUACUGGGCGUAAAGCGUGCGCAGGCGGCGCGUUAAGACAGGUGUGAAAGCCCCGAGCUUAACUUGGGAAUUGCGCUUGUGACUGGCGUGCUGGAGUGUGGCAGAGGGAGGUGGAAUUCCACGUGUAGCAGUGAAAUGCGUAGAGAUGUGGAGGAACACCGAUGGCGAAGGCAGCCUCCUGGGCCAGCACUGACGCUCAUGCACGAAAGCGUGGGGAGCAAACAGG